rnacentral:rRNA from 1 species
AUUGAACGCUGGCGGCAGGCCUAACACAUGCAAGUCGAACGAGCGGAGGACGGGUGAGUAAUGUCUGGGAAACUGCCUGAGGGAGGGGGAUAAGUACUGGAAACGGUAGCUAAUACCGAAUACAAUCAGAUGUGCACAGAGGGGAUGAGCUAGUAGGUGGGUUGACGGCGCACAGAGGCGACAAGCCCUAGCUGGUCUGCGAGGCUGAACAGCAACACUGGAACUGAGGCACGGUGCAGACUCCUACGGGAUGCAGCAGUGGGGAAUAGUGCACAAUGGGCGCAAGCCUGAUGCAGCCAUGCCGCGUGUGUGAAGAAGGCCUUCGGGUUGUAAAGCACUUUCAGCGGGGAGGCGUUACCCGCAGAAGAAGCACCGGCUAACUCCGUGCCAGCAGCCACGGUAAUAC